AUGCAUUCACAUUGGAAAAUUGUAUUGGUCAAAACUCAAAUUGAAGUAGCAGGCUCUGAUCCUCACUGCUUAGCUUUUCUAGAGAGGGUCAAAACUCAAAAGAUCUUUUGUUUUGGAACAUUUGUGUAUUUGGUGAAACCCUGGACAGAAGACCCAAUCCCGAGCUUCAUUUCCAGUUUAGCAGUGGCCGUGUGCGGGAAUGUUGCUUCUUUGAAAGGAUAUGGGGGCAGUAGAAGGUUAAGGAAAAUUUUGCUUUGGGAGAACGCAAAGAGAGAAAAGGGAUGCAAACAGAAGUCUGCUGGCCUGGAAUUUAAACAUGACUUACGGCCUAAUAAAGAAAAGAUGCAGGAAGCAGGAGGGAAGAUGACUUUCCCAGUCACACGAUCACUUGUAUUCACAAAAAUGCAGCUUGCCUAUUUGCUUCCUCAGUGUUGGGCAUGCUAUUCCAAUUAA
rnacentral:rRNA from 1 species